rnacentral:rRNA from 1 species
AGGAUGAACGCUGGCGGCGUGCUUAACACAUGCAAGUCGAACGAUGAAGGCUGGAGCUUGCUCUGGCUGGAUUAGUGGCGAACGGGUGAGUAACACGUGAGUAACCUGCCCCAGACUCUGGGAUAAGCGCUGGAAACGGCGUCUAAUACCGGAUACGAGCUUCCACCGCAUGGUGAGGAGCUGGAAAGAAUUUCGGUCUGGGAUGGGCUCGCGGCCUAUCAGCUUGUUGGUGAGGUAAUGGCUCACCAAGGCGACGACGGGUAGCCGGCCUGAGAGGGUGACCGGCCACACUGGGACUGAGACACGGCCCAGACUCCUACGGGAGGCAGCAGUGGGGAAUAUUGCACAAUGGGCGAAAGCCUGAUGCAGCGACGCCGCGUGAGGAUGAAGGCCUUGGUUGUAAACCUCUUCAGCGAGGACGAAGCGCAAGUGACGGUACCUGCAGAAGAAGCACGGCUAACUACGUGCCAGCA